GACAGAGGGUGCAAACGUUGCUCGGAAUUACUGGGCGUAAAGCGCGUGUAGGCGGGCUUGCAAGUCAGAUGUGAAAUCCCUGGGCUCAACCCAGGAACUGCAUUUGAAACUGCAAGCCUUGAGUAUCGGAGAGGAAAGCGGAAUUCCUGGUGUAGAGGUGAAAUUCGUAGAUAUCAGGAAGAACACCCGUGGCGAAGGCGGCUCUCUGGAACGCAACUGACGCUGAGACGCGAAAGCGUGGGGAGCAAACAGG
rnacentral:rRNA from 1 species